UGAAGUGGGUCAAGCCCUUCCU
rnacentral:piRNA from 1 species